AGCCCAACCACCCAAACCCUAACCCAGAUCCACUCCCACUCCAGCCGCCGCUGCCCCCUUCUCCCUCCCAGAUCCAAUCCAAGUCAGAACCCCUCGCCCUCCCGUCCCCGGCCUCCAUCUCCAUUCCUGCGCGUGUCGGACACCUCCCUCCGGCAGAGCUCGACCCACACCGCCAAGCGCCGCUGCUCCACCCUCUCCCGCGCCCCUCAAUCCCAGAUCCCCGUCUCCAAGUUACCCUCUUCCUCCCUCAGAUCUCGAUCCGUCGUCCACCAUCGAUGACCCUCCCUAUAGACGAGAUCGAGCUCCUCCCUCCUCCUGUUCUCCCCCAGCCUUAUCCGCUCCGAGCCAACCAACCACCCUGUCCUUGGGAUUUUGCCGCGCGGCGCCUCGUCUCGCCGGCCUGGCGACCACAGGCAGGCAGUCCACGGCCAGGAUGGCGGCGUGCCCCGCCGCGACCACGUACACGCACAACACUCCGCGCCUCCCCUCCCUCUCCUGCGGUUCCUAACAGACGCACUCGUUGCGGUCGGCGUCCCCGGAGUUGGCGCAGGAGGGGCUGGCCGGCGUCCCCCGUCGACGUCCUCCUCCCUCUUGUCCUGCGUGAUCUGGAGGGGGAUGGAGCGGGCGGCCAUCAUCUGAGGCUAGGCCACGUCGGACCGGGAGGGGACCAUGGCGCCGCCCCAUCGCGGUUGUCCUCGUUCACCUCUGCUCCAGCAGCGUUGCCUUAGGAGAUGGGGGCCAUAGACCUUGGGAACCCGCUCCUCAACCGCACCGUCGACGGCUUCCUCAAGAUCGGCGCCGUGUUGUUGCUGGGGUGUAUGUAGGCAUGGAGUAUGGAGUGGAAAGGGCCAGUGGUGACUGUGACUCGUCCAGAAUGGGGCGUGGGAGAAGCUGCCGGCCGGCGGAUCUGUGUGAAAGCCACCAUUGAGAGGAACAAAAAGGCCAACCAUGACACAUCCAACUCUAGCACGGUUGCAGAAGUCAAUGCCCACGUAACAUCAUGUCAUUCUUUCACUCUACAGCAAUUGCUUGAAUUGACACCCAAGAUGUGAUCUUUUGCUAUCUUAGGAGAACCUGGUGUGCUAUAUGGGGAAGCAAAGCAGCAACCCACAACUCAACUUGUGACUCCAGAUGAAGGCACCACGACGCACCAUGAUUAUCCAUUGGAAGGGCUUCCGAGUUUGCACCCCGCCGUCCGGACGGAGCAAGGAGGGGUCAUCGUCCACACCGUGGAGUUGGUUGAGCCUUGAGUGCGACCUGGAGAAGUAGGGCAUUGUCUGGGGUCAUCUCUUCCUUUUGCCGUGCUGGGAUACUUGGUUGUACCCCGGGGAGUUGGUUGAGCCUUGAGUGCGACCUGGAGAAGUAGGGCAUUGUCUGGGGUCAUCUCUUCCUUUUGCCGUGGUAAGAAAUGAGCGCCACUCUUUGUCGUGCAUGUAUCGAAAUGGCAGAAAUGUUGAAUACAUGUUUGCUCUCAGCUGGGAUACUUGGUUGUACUUAGUUAUGUGAUUUAUUCAUGUUCGUGCUGCUUGUUAAGUGAUUAUCUGUAUGUCAUUGCUACCCCGUUGCAUAUCUCUCUUUUCUUGUGUGCUGCAUUGUAGAUAUGCUUGAUGGAGUGAAUGCUUUCAGUUCUGGUUGUGUCAAAUCUUUACUAUGUCCCAUGCUUAGUGUUUACUAUAUUGAGGCAUUGGCCAUCGGAAUUUCGGCGUGUAUGUAUAAUUUUAGUUCUGGAUGUGUCCAAUGCAAACAUUACUAUCAACUGUUAAAUUGAUUCUAAAAUUUCUCAUUAACUUCAUUUCAGACGAUGAUUUCUGGAUUUGGUACCAAUUUAUUGUUGGCAUGCAUGUGCUAUGUACCUUGCUUUGGUUUUAUGUAGCAAGUGCCUUAGUACCUUUUCUGUCAUGUGGUGUCCAUGGAUUGAAAUGUUGGCUGUUAUAUAUUGAUUGUAGUAUCGAAAAUGCCUCAAACCUGAAAUACUUAAAAUAGAUUGUUGUUCCUUUCUUGUUAGUUUUGAUACCCAUAUACCUGCCUUGUAUUAGCUCUUUCCUUUCGUGCAUGUUAAUUCAGUGUUUGUGUUGAUUUGAUGCCAAUGUUCAAAAACAAGAUUUUUAUGGAUGGGUUUAUGUGUUCUGCUGGUAUAUAUGCACACAGAAUGGCCUUCAUUAUUUUUGUAUCUGCUGUUAGAUUUGCUUUUAUUUUGUUUCUAACCAUUUUGUUCUAUAACAUGCACAUGCUGGCCUUUCAUGUUUUGUCGCGAGCAACAAGACGAAGAAGUCGGAAGAAGCAUAGUUCUAGCUCAUUGGAGCUAGUUCAAGGAGUAAUGAAGCCCUUGAUGCUGAUCUGUUGGAACAAACUGAAGCACGAACUUGGCUCAUGUGAUCCACUUGUAGAGCUUAUUAUACUGUGAUCGCAUUUGUAUGUGUGAUCACAUUUGUAUGUGUGUUAGAUGAUGUAACAUAUUGCUUCUUGUUAUUUGAAGUAUUACAUCUGUUUUCUGUCUA